CCUCUCGCUGCCGACCCUCCGGGGCGAGCGCCCGAGAUCCCUUUCCCAGAGUGCUCCGCGCCGUGAAGAAGCGGCUCCCGGGGACUGGGGGCAUUUUGUGUUGGCUGGAGCCGGAGUAACAAGAUGGCGGCGUCAGCGGAGUGACAGAGAUCCCUCCGGGCGGGAGCCGGCGGCAGCGGUGACAGUGGUAUCGCCGCCCUAACACACCGCGCUCCUUUUCCGGCCCGCGAGGGCGCCGCGAAAGCGAGGCCGCGGCGGCCGCCCAGAAAUAAGUGGCCCGGCCUGGUAACCGAAAGAACCUCCUCACAGACUGCGGCCUGGCCAGGGAAGCCUGACUGAGCGGCGGUGACCGGCUCGCCUCGGCCGAUUCUGGGCCCUGUAACGCCGAGAGAGCCGACGGUUUCCGUUUCCUGCCGCCCUCCUCCGCAGCCUCGCUCCGCGCCCGGGCCUCAGAGGCCUCCGUCCUCCCCUCAGAGGUGUCGGGGCUUGGCCCCAGCCUCCAUCUUCGUCUUUCAGGAUGGCGAGCAGCAGCGGCUCCAAGGCCGAGUUCAUUGUCGGAGGGAAAUACAAACUGGUACGGAAGAUCGGGUCUGGCUCCUUCGGGGACAUUUAUCUGGCGAUCAACAUCACCAACGGCGAGGAAGUGGCAGUGAAGCUAGAAUCUCAGAAGGCCAGGCAUCCCCAGUUGCUGUACGAGAGCAAACUCUAUAAGAUUCUUCAAGGUGGGGUUGGCAUCCCCCACAUACGGUGGUAUGGUCAGGAAAAAGACUACAAUGUGCUAGUCAUGGAUCUUCUUGGACCCAGCCUCGAAGACCUCUUCAAUUUCUGUUCGAGAAGGUUCACAAUGAAAACUGUACUUAUGUUAGCUGACCAGAUGAUCAGUAGAAUUGAAUAUGUGCAUACAAAGAAUUUUAUACACAGAGACAUUAAACCAGAUAACUUCCUAAUGGGUAUUGGGCGUCACUGUAAUAAGUGUUUAGAAUCUCCAGUGGGGAAGAGGAAAAGAAGCAUGACUGUUAGUACUUCUCAGGACCCAUCUUUCUCAGGAUUAAACCAGUUAUUCCUUAUUGAUUUUGGUUUGGCCAAAAAGUACAGAGAUAACAGGACAAGGCAACACAUACCAUACAGAGAAGAUAAAAAUCUCACUGGCACUGCCCGAUAUGCUAGCAUCAAUGCACAUCUUGGUAUUGAACAGAGUCGCCGAGAUGACAUGGAAUCAUUAGGAUAUGUUUUGAUGUAUUUUAAUAGAACCAGCCUGCCAUGGCAAGGACUGAAGGCUGCAACAAAGAAACAAAAAUAUGAAAAGAUUAGUGAAAAGAAGAUGUCCACUCCUGUUGAAGUUUUAUGUAAGGGAUUUCCUGCAGAAUUUGCCAUGUACUUAAACUAUUGUCGUGGGCUGCGCUUUGAGGAAGCCCCGGAUUACAUGUAUCUGAGGCAGCUAUUCCGCAUUCUUUUCAGGACCCUGAACCACCAAUAUGACUACACAUUUGAUUGGACAAUGUUAAAGCAGAAAGCAGCACAACAGGCAGCCUCUUCAAGUGGGCAGGGUCAGCAGGCCCAAACCCCCACAGGUCUUAAAGAUGAGAAGUUGGAUCCACUGAGUUAGUAUGUUUCCUUGGGAAAAAAUUGUAAUUAAACUUAAGUUUAAUCCUUAUUUUGUAUUGUAGCUAUUUUUCGUAGAAGCAAGUUAAAAUCAGAAAAAUUUCAUAGCAUUACACAGAGGAGAUAUACAAAUUGUUACAUAAACACACACUUGUAAAAUUUUGAAAAAUUGGACUUUUCGUGAAACGUAGCACAUAAGCAUUUACUGACAACUGUCACAGAUGCAUUUCCAGGUGGCAUAUUUUGACUCCAAACAAAGUACUUCUUCCUAUUAAAAUGUGCCAUUCCGUAGAAUACAAACAACAAAAUUCUUUUUUGUCUUUGACUUGUUAUAAACAGUUGUUUUAUUUUGGAUAUAGAACUUAGUGCCCCCAAAAAAGUCUUAGACAAAACCCCCUAUAUAUAAAGCCAUGAAAGUAUAGCAAGUUUGAGGGUGGCUCAUGAAGUAAGUACAGGGAGCCUGUUCCCCUAACCUCUACCCCAGCCUUAUUAUCUGGGUCGUCCAUUAAGAAAUCUCCUAUGAAGUUUGAAAACAAUUUCUCUAGGCUACUUACUCUUGAUUCCCAACUCUAAGUAAUAAGAGUAUUUAGAAGCCUACUCUCUUAGGAUCCACUACAGUAGCAUUUCAUUCACGGAAGAGGUCAUGCAGCUCAAUAAUUCAUUGAUUACAAGAAAUCCUUUCAGUGAUGAUGAAAAUAGCAUAUUAGAUUUUUCUGGUUAAAAUUUUUGUAGGUGUUUUUUUAAUACAUCGGAUCAUUUGUGAUUCACAGAGUUAUGUAUUCAGAGGUUUUCACUGCAGAUAAUUCAGUUUCUUAAGUGAAUCUUCACCAAGUAGAUCUCUAUAUUGCAGGAAUUCCAUUCCUGGAAAAAUCCCCCAGGCGGUGGCAUUCACUAAUAUAUUUUAUAUGAUUAUCUUUAUUUUCGAAAAAUCUGUAUCUAAUGUUUCUUACAUGGAAAGUUGUUUUUGCACUUCACUAAGCAAAUAUCUAAGUUUCUUCAAAGUCUGACUUAACUGAGAUAGGCUUUAUUAAAUGUAGUAGGCAACCUAAUUACUUUUCUAAAGAAAAGGUCUUUUGAUAUAUUCCAUUCCAAAGCCCAUCAAAAGACUAAGAAACAAGGCAUUUCUCCUACUGCCCUCUAUGAUCUAUACUAGUUUUCAGUGCUCAAGUACCACAGAAUUAUAGUUACUGUUUUCGUACAUGGUAAGGAGAAAAAUAAAAGAUUCACGUCUAACAAAUUUCCAAAUGCACUUCACUCCUUUUAUAUGUGAUUAUUAGGAAAGUACUUUUCAAGAUGUUUAAGAAGCAGUACAGAAAAAGGAAAUAUUUUUAGGACAUUCAGAAUCCGGUUAAGUUCACCGUUUCUUUAGUUGAGGGCAGAGAUGGGGAGAAUUUCAGAAGGUAGUGAAGCCAAAGGUGGAUCCUCACAUAAUUCUGCUAUUCUCAUCAUCUUAACCCAUCUGUUCACUACUCCAGCCAUCAAUACUAAGCGUAGUUUUAUCAUAAUAGUAUAUGUGGUUGUCAAAUUGUUGACAUUUAAGAGAUUAGAAGUAUUUUUCCAUCACAUUAUCCUAUCCAUGUCCAUGGUCUUCCUUGAAUUACCUUCCAGUAUUUACUGGGCUUCACCUGCCAUUUAUGUCUAGCUUAACUUUUUCUGACUUCACCAAUUGCUGCUAGGAACGUGGCUGGUCACUCAGCAACGUAACCCAAAUCACAGGGGAAGACCUUGAGAUAUCUGGAGAGACUGAUCUGCUCUGAAUACACUCAAUCCAGAGAAGUACCAGGGAGCUGCAUUUGUUUGCUGAAAUUUUUGUCAGCUUUUUUCACUGGACAAUAAAGCCGGAGAGAAAAGAACUAAAUAACCCAACGGGAAGUGAAGAUGAGUAUGCAAGAGUCGAUUUGUGGUGGUCUGAAGCCCACGUCUCUAAGGCUUGUUGGACCUGUCAAACUUUACAACUUGUGAGAUUGUCUGGAUGAUACCACAGCAGUUGGAAGACCUAGAAGAAUACAGUGUUGCUGUGACUCGGUGGUGUAGAAUGCAGACCAUCCACCAGUUGGCGAAGGAAUCAGUUGUAACAGGAACAAAGGCAUUCAUUCCUUAUUUUAACUGUUGUUGCAGUGAAGAUGGGUUUUUGGACUUUCAGAAGCCAAGAGAUGCCACCUAAACUACGAGCUGAAAACCAAGGACUAAUGCACCCUGGGGAAAACAAUGCUUAGUACUUGAAGAUUGAAUGUUGAAUACCUGCUGAAUGCUCUUAUUGAGAUUUUUUCCUAAACAAACUUCACUAACAUCUUAGGACUGGAGAAGCAUUGAUCUCUGGGUGGAGUAUCCUACCUUGGCCAAUCUGAAGAGUUAAAUCUGGAUUUGACUGCUGUAUUCUACCAGGAAUAUUGUUAGGCUAGCCUUUAACGAAUCCCUAAGUAAUUGUAAUCAUCAAAUGACCCAGCAACUGCUCAUAUAUCACAUUAAAAGAUGAACAGAUAUAAUUCUUAUCCCUAUUAAAGACACAGGAGUUUUCUAAUGUUUUGACUGACAAAGAACUAAUGUUUCCUUUUUAUUCUCAGUGGCAAUGGUUUCUGUUUUAGAGCUACUUGGAUAUUCAGCAAAGUAAAUUAUCCAAUAUAAUGUAAUUGUGUAAGCAAGCUAUGGUAAAAGAAAACCCAGCAAUUUUCGUAGUUGCGAAAACAUUAUUCUUUUUAUCGUAUUUAAGAAUAGUUGCAGAACUUGAAACCAACUGUUCAUUGGGGUUAGGGUUACUUUAUUUAGCUUAUCCAUAGUUUUAAUUUGCUUUAAAAUAUUCUGUAUUUUAAAGUUGGAAUUAGGUUACAGAAUUUGGUCAGAUCUUUAAGGUUUGAUUUGACAACCUUUUCUUUUUAUGCUUACCUAGCUAAUCCUGUAUAAUAAUUUAUAUCAAAUAGAUAAUAUUCCUUGUGGUAAAAUACCUUUUCACAAAGUUUCAUUAUCAUUUUUGGUGUUUGGUUUAUGAACUUAGUACUUGAACAGGCAGCAAAGGUCUAUUUUGCAUCCUCUGUUAGGCACUAUGGGGAGACACAGAAGUACAGCACUUCGUCUUUAUUCUCAGGCGUAGCACAGCAGAUUAAAUGAAUAAAGAUGACUCUGACCUCAAAUGGGAAAACUCCUAGUUAACGAGUGAGAAUAUUUACCAAGAAAUAGUAUAUAAAUGUUGGUGGUAUUAUCUUUGGGGAAAAAGGCAUCCGUGCAUGAAAAGUAAAUCAUGGAAGUAUUUUAUGUAUCCCAUAAAGCCCAUUGGAGAUGCUCCAACAAAUGUUUGAGAAGUACAAAAAAGGGAGCAGUUUAUGAUUGGCGAAAACAUGAUUUGUGCUCCAGAAGUGAGAGGUCAGAGUGGCUAGAAUGAGCUAUACUUAGGUCAGCUAAAAGAGUUUGGAAGGGGGUGGACCAAGAGGCAUUGAUAUCUUACAGGAGGGCUUUAGAUGAGAAGGUGCUGAUGGGGUUUUUAUGUUAUUGCUAAGGGUUAGACACAUUUCCUCUCUGCCAUCAGGCAUAGAUGAAGCAUGAGCUAUAUUACUUGAAGCCUUCUAUUCAAGCCUGCCUUAUGUGGAAGCCCUGCGGUCUGCUUGUCGGGGAGGAGGGGAGUGUAUGCAGGGUGGCAAGGCUUGAGAAGUAAAUAAAGCCAAAAAGGCAUCACUUGUUUAACUUUCAAGACAGUGACAAAACCUAACAUUUUUAAUGUAACUGAUGGAAGUAAAGAAGUUUUAAAGACCUAAGGUUUCUGUUUAAGAAUUAUAUACUUAAUAUCUUUAUGUUCAGUGGAAUAACUGAGAUAAUUAUGCCUUCGAUAAUUUAUUAUUAAAGCUUAUCAUUCCUCGUUUGUGUCAGAAAUGUGCAGAGCACUUCCUGCUCAUAGGAUAAUUAAAACUAUACAUUCUAGUUGUUAAA